AGCAAACUUUAAGUUUCAGCCAAUCAGUGAGUUACUUUGUAAUGAUAUCAGGGUCCAAUCAAUACCAAUCCAUACUUGAAAGUGAAAAUGAAAAUAAUACACACAUAUAAUUGUGCAUAUGCGUAUAUGACUUAUUCAUUUAUCAAAUUAUCAAUUAUUAUAACUACAAGUAUAUUUAUAUUAUUCUGUUAUUUAAUAUGAUAAGUUUGUUUGCAAUUUCAACACAUUAAAAUUUUUUGACAAACCAAAUCUAAAUGUACAGCUGUAUGAUUUAUCUUACAUGCCUUUUUCAAAGUAGUUGCUUCACUUUUACUAAGUCUUAAUAUGAUGAUUAGGUUCGUUUACAAGAAUUUUCAGCUUUUUGCCAUAUGUUAUUUAUCAAAGAAUGUUAUUUUUUUUUUUUAAGUGAAUUUGUACAGUCCAGUAAUGAUUUUCUCUUUAUUUGUUUUUCUUGAUUGAUGAUUACCAUCCAGUCAAAUGAACAUUGUAUUUAACAUUUGAUUGUGUUCAAUAAAAUUUAUUUUUGAAUAAAACAUUUUUGGG
rnacentral:sRNA from 1 species